CCUACGGGAGGCAGCAGUGGGGAAUUUUCCGCAAUGGGCGAAAGCCUGACGGAGUGACGCCGCGUGCGGGACGAAGGCCUUCGGGUUGUAAACCGCUUUCAGCAGGGACGAAGCGAAAGUGACGGUACCUGCAGAAGAAGCGCCGGCUAACUACGUGCCAGCAGCCGCGGUAAU
rnacentral:rRNA from 1 species